rnacentral:rRNA from 1 species
UACAGAGGGUGCAAGCGUUAAUCGGAUUUACUGGGCGUAAAGCGUGCGUAGGCGGUUUGCUAAGUCGGUUGUGAUAGCCCUGGGCUUAACCUGGGAAUUGCAGUCGAUACUGGCAGGCUAGAGAACGGUAGAGGGAGGCGGAACUCCAGGUGCAGCGGUGAAAUGCGUAGAUAUCUGGAAGAACACCGAUGGCGAAGGCAACCUCCUGGGCCUGUUCUGACGCUGAGGCACGAAAGCGUGGGGAGCAAACAGG